AUGCCGAAAGAUGGAGACUCGCCCUGCAGGUGCCAUCCCGCAGCCGUCCUUGUCACAAGCCAGCAGCUGCGAGCUGGCAGCUGGGAUGCAGGGCCGUGGUGCAGCCUGCUGGGAUCCAGAUCUUUGGCAUCUGAGGGGACCUCCAAGCGAGGAAAAAGUCGGUCAGGAAGCCGUGCAGCAUCCGUGGCUUUUAAAGAUACCGGAAAAACACCCAUAGAGCCGUAGGUCGUGAGUCACCAGAUUAAAAUUACCCUAAUCAGCCGCAACGUAAAGUCUUUGGAGAAGGUGUGUGCUGACUUGAUCAGAGGCGCAAAGGAAAAGAACCUCAAAGUGAAAGGACCAGUUCAGAUGCCUACCAAGACUUUGAGAAUCACUACAAGAAAAACUCCUUGUGGUGAAGGUUCUAAGACUUGGGACCGCUUCCAGAUGAGAAUCCACAAGCGACUCAUUGACUUACAUAGUCCUUCUGAGAUUGUUAAGCAGAUUACUUCUAUCAGUAUUGAGCCCGGAGUGGAGGUUGAAGUCACUAUUGCAGAUGCUUAAAUCAACUGUUUUAAUAAAUUGACUACCACUUGUUUAAAAAAAAA